rnacentral:sRNA from 1 species
AAGAGCUGGAAAGAGCAAAAUAAUUGUUUUUUUCCCCUAAUUUGGCCUUCCGCGCGCACAUUUUCUUCUUCCUAAUUUCUCUAAUCUCAUAUACACUUUGGCACGCCUCUUCCUCAUGGUUCACCGCAAAGCUGUUGUUUGACACCGUUCUUUGUCGUUCACUACACUGGCCUGAGUUCUCAUCGUCCGACUGAGUCGCGUCCUUCGCCUGAGUCGCGUCCAUCGUCUGACUCUUCAUUCAUUGUCCGCCAUUGUUGCAUGAGCUUCGUCCGUCACAGUUAAGUUCUCUCCUUCUGCAAUUCCUAAUUCUCUCGUCCUCUUAGCCUCAUCUAAAUUCUCUUUUCCAUCGUCCUAUACUCUUUCCAAAACCCUAGAAAUUGGGAAACCUCAUUCCAUGCAAAUUUAGUGGUUAUAAUAUCAUGUAAAUCGUUAUGGUUAAAUUGAUUGAUUUUUGUGUUAUAUUGAGCAUGUUGUGAUGUAUGGUCUUGGUUGGAAUGCAUAUAUGUUUUAGAGUUCUUGUUUUUCUUUCUAUGUUAGGUAUGUUAGGUACUGGGAACGUAAGCUCGUGUUGAAUCGCGAUUUCUAUAAUCCUGAUUCAAGAGAAAGACAUCAGGAAGUCCAGUUUUGAAAAACAUUGAUUUCAGAGCAGAGCCAACAGAGAGAGAAUUAGAAGCGUGAAACAGAAAUAUAAGUUCAAGAAGUUUGAUAUUUUGGUACAAAAUUUAGAAGCAUACACGAUUAAAGGUCAUUUUUCAAAAUGAAUAGAUUAAAUACUAUCUAGAAACAGAACAAGCAUCUUCUUGUUAUAAUGCACAAAAUAACUUAGAUUCUUAAGGAAUGCUUCCUUAUUUUCAUAUUUGAAUUCAAUUACUUAUUCCAGUGUGGACCUUACAUAGAGAUCUGUAUCUUAGUAGUUUUUGUUUUAUAGACCGGAGAUUCACGUCUUGAGGUUCGUGAGCGUGUGUAAUAUAUCAGAGAUAAGCUUUUAGAGCUUCACGAGCUUCUUUUCUUUCUGGGGGAAAAUUGACCAGACUUCUAAGCGCCACAUGUCUAGGGAGAAGACAGAUAUAAUUUUGAAAGUAGUUGUAAAGCAUUUCUUAAUUGAGAAAGAGGUCACUUCUACUUUGGUAAUGGACUCCUUGCAUAGUGGAUUGAAGGCUCUUGAAGGCCAGACUAAAAACCAAAAAGCUAAAGUGAAAUGGCUGGAUGCUGAAGAAAUACCAGCACCAAUUGUUCAUGUUGAGAAAGAC